rnacentral:piRNA from 1 species
UAAAAAGGAAAGGUCAAAUACAAUGAAAUG